AGUGGCCUGUUUGCUUAGGCACUGAAGUGGAUGACCCAAGUUAGGAUGACAACUUGCAGAGAACGCGGAUGAGACCUUCAGUUUGUGCCCACACUCAUUUGCAGCAACCCUAACAGAGAUUGCGAAGAUUUUCAAAGUGGGGCACCUCGAUUUCUCGAAUCUGUGGUGUGGCGAAUAUCCGUGUUCCUCCUGCUUAACUAGCCUGUUUGCAUCUUUUGACACAUUUUACUUCCGUAAUUUCGGACUGCCAGAAGGCACAGUUCAUUCUCGAGCAAUUCGUCACCUCCUGGGGGUCUUCUCUUCCCGUCUACAGGAGAGUGUGACUUCAGAAAGAACUUCGGAUUGGCCAAGGUCUGAUUCUAUUUAUUCUAAAGACAGAGUUGGAGAUGGGCUACCAUUGGUGUUGAUUGAGAUGACAAGCAGUCACCUGAGCCCAUACAGCUGGUAAGUAGAACAGUACUGGAGAGAUGGCUCAGCAGUUAAGAGCACUGACUGCUCUUCCAGAGAUCCUGAGUUCAAUUCCCAGCAACCACAUGGUGGCUCACAAACAUCUGUAAUGAGAUCAGGUGCCCUCUUCUGGUGCCUUUGAAGACAAAGACAGUGUAGUGUCAUAUAUAUAAAAUAAAUAAAUCUUUAGAAAUUUGAAAA
rnacentral:lncRNA from 1 species